ensembl:lncRNA
GAUAUAUCUUUGGAAAGCUAGGAUUGUUCUGAUCGGAUUUGAUGUAAAUCGUUUCAAGAUACAAUCACAACAGCAGCUACGAUCAACGUCUCCGUCAGACCACCGACAUACAAACAAACACUUACAACACGGAAGCGACUUCGCGAACUUUAGCUAGUGCAUUAGCAGACGUCUACAACUGAGCCACAACACAGAACUCCACAUUUGAACAGUCAAUAGCAGAUGCUUCAUAAAAUAAUCAGAUAUGCGUACAUUCAGACACGCAAGAUUGUCAUUGAGCAGAGUGGGGAUUGGGCAUUUUUCAGGAGUAGCCUCCGUGUAGCUUGCGUUGUACUCGCCCAGGUUCAGGGAGGCGUCUACAUAAAAUACGCUGUGCACAAGUAUGCGUUCGGGUUGUACGGCUCAGGAACAGCGUUAUAAAUAAGCAGAAACCUCUGAUUCCUGAAUUCGUCCGUUUUCGGAAGGCUAAACACACAGCGUCUCCACGACACGGCGUCCGAAUCUACUGAAGCCCCGCCUUCUUUCUUCAUGGCUGCCUUUGAGGAGGAUUAUGCUGAUGUUUCACGUAGUGACGUAGACGUUUGCGGAAGUAAUACCUGAACUUCGACUGUGGUGUUUUGGGCAGGUUUGGAGCGGUGUUCUCUGUUAAAUCCCUUCUGGGGAGAUUAUGAGCUUUGUGACCUUGCAGAUGUUCUGCAUUGGACACCCGGACAAAAGGAAAACAUUCAAAAUCAUCAUAUGACUCCUUUAAUGGCUGUGUAUUACUUGAUUAUAAAUAGUUUAUGAACAAACUGUAUAUUAAAACGUCGCUUUUAUGUCACUUUUAAAUGUCCUGGGCAUUUUCUACAUUUAUUUUUUUAAAAUCCAAACUGUUUAGUGAGUUUGAGGCAGUCGGUGAGGGACAGGACAGGACAGGACAGAACAGAGCGGAACGGCGUGAUGCUAAUCCGGUAUGAUGCUAAUCCGGUAUGAAUGAGAGUGGCGUGAGGGGAUUAAAGAUUUUGCGUCGCGUGUAGACGACGUAUCGAUAAUCCGCUGAUUUUGGAUUGCGAUUGGACGGAGUAAUCCCCGGCCUGUGGGAGAUUUCUGAUUCUGAUUGAUGUGUAUUUAAAACGCUACGCUCUGAAAAUAAACACACACGCACAUUACAGAUCAGCACAGGGAAGUCCAGGGAGCCCAUUGUGUCCGCGGUUUUUCUUCAGAUUCAGAAUCGACUCGGAUUCCGGUUCAGUGAAUCAGGAAAUCGAAGUUCGUGCGUCACGUCGCUCGUGCUGUAGAUCCGUAACGCCGGUUCUGAAAAGGCUUCUGUUCGGAUUUUUAAAAAAAAGCGUCACGUGGAUCUUUUCAGUCGCGGCAGCUCCAUUUAGAAUCGCUUUUCCAGAACCGGAUUAAUCUUAAGCUCACGAUAAGAUGCUUUCACACUCACGAAUCAUCGUCGCUGUUGAAUUUUAACAAGACGACGGAGGCUAAUCCGCGUCGGAGCCUCGAACGCCCUGCGUGGGAUUCUCGGAAACGUCUGGGAACGCUGCGGAGAUGGAACACGCGCUGGAACUUGCUUCACAUAUCUUCCAUGACGUUAUUUGUAACUAUAAAUGGAUAAAAAGUCUGUCAAUCUUUACAAAAUUUGUACAGUGAAUAUAAGAGGAAUAAAAGAUGCAGCGGUGGACAAAGCGGGAAGAAAUCGCCAGGGACGUGUUUAAACAGUCUCUCACACACACACACACACACACACACUGGCCUUGAGUAUUCAUGACAUUUCAUUUAGUAGUUAGCUGUUCAUUUCUGCAACACCUCACUGCAUCACAUCGUGACCUCGACGUGUCCGAGCGUCCUUCAGCUGAUAAUCUUCAAUCUUCGCUCCGUAACACUGUUCUAGAGGAACGUGUGAGAUUACAGCGCUGAGUCCUGCAAGCGUCAUAUUCCGAACACACUCUGGAAAUAAGAACAGGAAAAUCUACAAAGCAGUAGUGUUUACGGAUCGCGAUCGGCCACGUUCAAAUAUAUAUAAAUAUGGUUGGAAACAAAUAAUAAUAAAUAAAAAGCUAAAAGAUAUGAACUGUGCUAUAGCAACAACCAAAGAAAACAGAUUCUACAGCUAUAAUAAUCAUAACACGCUCGCUUUCAAUGUAUGACAAAAUAUUAACAAUGAAAUUUGACAUAAAUACAUAAACUAGUGCUAGAAAAUAAACUAUUAUAGAUAUUUAUACACAAUAAGAAAUAUUUGCUGUAAUCUGGCCUUAAUCCAGGACCUGGACGUCCUCAUGAGAUUAUUAUUAUUAUAGGAGGUGAAUGAAGGGUUAUAAACCUGCAGCCUCAGUUUUCAGUGCUUUUAAAUGAGCUUCCUGGUUUAUAAUCUCGCCACAGACUGGUUAUAAAGCUUCAAAACAGGUGUUACAGGUGCAGUAAACAUCCGUCACGUCCGGCAGCACGACUAUCGGACUCCUCCGUGGGAUCCUUUUUAAACCAUCUCCGUGACGUGAAAUGCUCAUUGAUGCUUAUAGAAUGUUACUCGGCGCUUCCGAAUGCGCUAUAAAGUCCAUUUGUAGUGCAGUCUACGUGACUAUUCGAUAAUAUCCCUCACGCUAAGGUGGCUCGAUAUGUUCUUGUUGUAUGUGAACGCUUUGAUCAGCACUUAUGCGUGCGUUAGGAAGUCCUCACGAAGGCUCAUUCAUCAUUGAACCCGAACGUGAGAGCAGGAUCGUAUACAGACGCGAAACCGAAUAUCGGUGCUUCAGCACCAAUAAAAAGAACAACAACAACAAAAGUACAGAAGCACAAUACUGAAUACAAAUGAAGCAAGGCGAAGACACGCGCACACGUACACACGUAGCAGAAAAAAAAACACGUUAACACAAAUGAUAGAGGAUGAGGUCUGGCUGAUGGACAAAUGAGCGAGUGAGGAUAAAAUCUGCCUCUGAUGAGAGAGAGAGAGAGAGAAAUUAGAGAGAAAGUGCUGUGAUUGCCAGCCAUCUGGAUUCCCUGAAGAGAAAAAUAUCUAAAAUAUGCACGGAGACAGAAAUCACACAUACACACUGUCUCAUUUACAACAGUGCAUUGAAAUACACACACACACAACCAGCAGCAUUGCACAUGUCAGAGAUCAUGGACGGUUAAAGUAAAGUGUGUACACAGUUUAACACAUUAGCAUGAAGCACAUGAAAGCAUAUAGCUAUUCACACACUCAUUUACAUCUUUGGGGAAUUUGGCACAAUCAGUCCACCUCCUGCUAUGUUUUUAGGAGGUGGGAGGAAACCGGAGACCCAGGAGGAAUCUCCGGUCCUAACUCUGCUUCAACGAAUUCUGAUGCAACGCAUUACUGCGAAAAAAAAAAAAAAUGAAGGUCAAAUUCGGAGCGAUAUUUCAUCAAACCCCUCUGGACAAAUUGCGGAUCAAAGUAUGAAGGCUUUCUGAAAGUCUAUGCUACACGUCGGCGAAGAAGGCCAAUUCACACCGGACUCGUCUCGUCCGGACCUUGUCCGAUUACAUUUUAACAAGACUUUCGAUCCACAAUCAUUAGAGACGAGUCAAACUCGAGCUCCUGUGCCAUGCUGGCCUUGUUUUACGCCUUUCCCCCCAGAGACGUAGCUAGAAAAGAGGCAAGGCAAGCGUGGGGCUUUCGAAUUGUGAUAGACCUCCAGAAAGCAAAAUCCAUGAAAAUGUCAAAUCUCAAAGUGUAGAACUCUUCCAGAACCCCCCAUGGGUAAUGUACAAUGCUAACCCUAGGAAGCGCUCUAAAGCUAGCACGUGGGACACAAGUUGACUUUGAAUCGUCACACUUUUCAUACGAGAGCGUACUUGUGCGGAAGAAGAGGCCGCUGCGGUUUGUACUGGAGGCUGUAUCGGGGCUAUCAGCUUGAUCUAUACGAACAGCCAACUUGCUCUAGCUCUAAAUCAAAUUUGUAGAAUGUAACAUUAAUGCUUUCAAACAGCUAUCCUCAUUGUAUUAAGGAUUUUGUGGAUUUAUUUAUUUAUUUAUUUUUUUUGAAGCUUUAUAGAGAUGUCUGGGGAACGCCGUUCACGACAACGACGAGGAAAAAAUGACCAGGAGUGUCACGUUUCAAGGUCGAUGCGGAAGCAAUCGCAGAUUUUCAAACAGUUUACUAAACAAAGACACUAAUACAACUUGGCAUAAUACUGUAGCGUAAGCUAACGAGAUCAAAACACGUUAACAUGGAACGCGGUAGUCUAAGACAAACGUAAGACAGAGAAGCAGUGCUAACAGUGGAUAUAUAUAAGCGUGCUCGUUAACAGAAACGCGAUUCGGGUGCAGGCGGUCAUGUGACAUGUUGUAGUACAGUGCAGUGGCUGAUGGGAACUGAAGUCCAGAGUUACCUCCUUGAUAUAUGACAAAGAGGGCCUCUUGCAUUUCUCUUGAAUCACCUCUUGGUUCAAUUGUUUUAUUUAUUUAUUUAAAAAUAAAAUAAAAUUAGUGUGCGAAUGAGUGACGCUUAAACUGUGCACUUUAUUUCAAAUCCUAAUCUACAAAUAUGUCAUGAUGAUGUUUGUAUACCGGCAGGAAUGAACUUGUAGAACCGUAAAUGUAACUAAAAAACGGAUAGAAAGUGUUGUAACACAUUUAAAACUGCAAUUGUUUGCAAAUCACUGUCAUAAAUGAGGAGUAAAAACGUCAGGAUGUGCUGAUUACAGAAAAAGUAUCAACAUUGCGUCAGUCCAUAAUCACACCUCCCCGACGUGGAUUACUUUCCUAUAACGGUAUGCCCCCAACAUGCUUUACUCCUUACUUACAAAGCUAAUACUGCUCUCAAAACAUAAAAAUGAAAUCUCCUGAACUGAAAAUGUAAAUUCACCACCUCUUAACCGUCAAUCGAAGACUGGAAUUGUGCAAUCAGAUUGUUUGUGGUGAAAGAUGCACACUCGGCCUCUUCAUCACAUGACGUUUAAGAUAAUCUCCAAGAGAGCUGAAUUUGAGUGUGUGGCCUGUUGUGGUAGUCGCACCGUGUCUGUCAGGAUCGUCGAGAAGAUCGAUGGGAAGAUAUCACUCAUGCUCCGAGCACAUUAGUACACGAGUGUGUCCUAGCGGCUCGACGUGUACAGUACUGUUUACACAUUCCCUCGCUUACAGUCUACAUUCGAUCAAAUUUAGCAAAUGAAUAUUAAUGCACAUUUCAUAGGGAAUAGUGAUAAAAUUACACCUAUAAUCCAUGCAUGACUCUUUAUCAUCCAUCAAUUACUAAUUAACAUUCGGCGGGUCCUAAAGUCAAACAGCAAAUUUUUUCCCCAGCAAUUUGAUAUUUUGCAUGUAAACGUAUGGGAAGGCAGACGCUUCCAAAAGUUAUAUGCCGAACAAGUAAUAGUAAAAAAUAAUUCUUGUUAAUGAAUGAAUAUGUAAUGAUUAAAAUACUUUAGAGUGUGGUGUUAUAGGAAAAGAUUCCAUGAUGGGUGGUAUAAUGAAGCGGAGUUGAUUAGCACCACGUCCCACAGUGUUUUAUAAUGGUCAUAUGAUAGUGAUUUGCCAACAGUUCAAUUUUUAAAAAUGUAUGAAAGCAGGGUACGUCUUAUCUGUAUAUAGAAAUAUUCUGUCUAGUUCAUGCUUUUGUUUUCUCUAGGUUGGAUUUUUGUCAUGCUUUUGCUCUCUGGUUGUUCCAGUAGCUACAUUAACAAGCUCCAGUUAGUCCAGUAUGCAGCAGCCAGAGUCCUUACUAGAACCAGAUUUGAUCACAACACCACUGCAUUAUAAAAUACUACUAAUGACAGUACUGUACUAAGUACUGAAUGGUCGCGCCAUUAUGUUCUAUUAUGUACUAUUAUGUUCCGCCAUGCCUGCUUUGAUUAAAAAGUGCAGGCUCUUUGUUGGUACCUAGAAUAAUGAAGUCUACAGCAGGGAGGCAGAACUUUCUCCUUACAAAGCCCCACAGUUAUGAAACAGACUUCUAAUUAGGGUCUAAUCUAGGCUGAAAACCUAUAUGUUUAGUAGGGCCUUUUUUUAAUGUAAAGGCACAGAUUGGAAGGGUUAAUAAUGAGUCUUUAUUGAUCACAUAUACAUUAGAGCACAGUGAAAUUCUUUUCUUCACAUACCCCAGAAUGUUUGGAAGUUGGGGUCGGAGCGCAGGGUCAGCCAUGAUAUAGCGCCCCUGGGGCAGAGACGGUUAAGGGCCUUGCUCAAGGGCCCAACAGUGGCAGCUUGGCAGUGUUAGGGCUUGAACCCCCGACCUUCUGAUCAGUAACCCAGAGCCUUAACCGUCAAGUCACCACUGCCCCAUACUGUCCAUGGGUAUAUAGUGUUUUGGUAGAGAGGGAUUAGUAAUGCUGUCGACCCCCCCAUCCCCCACCGCCACUCAGCACUCACUCAGGUUUGUUGAUGUUGGAGUGUCCUAUCCUCAUGUCCCAGGGCGCCUUCAUAUCUGUGUUAGCUUCUGGCUCUCUCUUUUAGUUAUGCUUGGGUCCAUGCUUGCACUCUGCACACAGUGUACAUCUUCUUAAACCAUUAUGUUACAAGAACAUACCUAAUAAUCCCCCUUCCCUGAGAAUUACAGGAUGCUGCUGAGGAUGGCCCCACAUGGCAAGCCUGAUGAUUGCUGCAAAUGGUACCACACGGAAACCCUGACGACGGCUGUGGAUGGUCUCACUUGCCUAAAGUUACAUUUGACGUUGUGGAAUGUCCAUGAAGCAGUUUGGAUCCUGUUACCAAAAUGAGACGAGAUGUGAUUGGUUUGCUGACAUAUCCGUCAAAUAACCCACUUGGUAAGACUUUAAUUGUUAAUUCAUUCCAAUAUAUUUACAUUCAUUGUAACAGCCAUACAUAGUAUGUAAAAUAUAAAAUGGUUUGAAAAAUCUUUUUUAAUAGGCUGUAUUAAUAGUAAAUAUUUUGGGAACAAAAACAACAACAAAACUAUUUACUGCUUGUUACAUAUAAUAUAUUAGACAUCAUUUUACGUAAACUUUAACUCAAGCUUAUGACCCAAAUAUUCAGGUUUCCUUUUUACUACAUUUGAAUUGUAUGAAUAUGAAAUCAAUGAGAACCCAAUUACA